ACUUAAAUAGCUUAUAAAUUAGAGCAUAAUAUUGAAGAUAUUAAGGAAAUAGGAUUAUUUUUAAGUA
rnacentral:tRNA from 1 species